UUUUUUUUUUUUUUUUUUGAGACUUUCUGGUUAAACAUCAAUUUCAAAAUCUUAAUGUUGUUUGUAGGUGUUUUGGUUUUUUGAUAGAUUAUUUUAGUGUUUUCUAUUUUAUCUAAUACCUGUUCCUUGAUUUCUUGUGUUAUUUCCUCCCAAAUGUCCCCCUGGACAAUACAGGGGUUUAUAAACUGUGAAGAUUCUGAAGGCAAAUCCUUUCCAUUUUGUGGCCCAGAGGGUCUCUGUUGCAACUACCCCACUCUGCAGUUGUAGCAUGAAGGUAGCCAGAGACAAGGAAGAAUUGAAUGAAUGUGCUGUGCGCCCUUAGAAUUUUAUUUCCCGAGCAGGUGGCCCAUGGUAGGUAUGAUUUGGCCUAUAGCCUGUAGUGUGUGGAUCCCUAUUAAUGGUAAUGUUUUUUGCUUUCACUCACUUUCCCACUGACUGGUUUAAGAGAUACAUCCUGUGAAGGCCGAGCUUUCUUGAGCACUAGAUGUCCCAGCUCUCAAACUUGCUUCUGCUGGUGACAAAAAUGCAAUGCUCUGUGCUGGGCAUACAGCAAAUGAGAGAAAUGAUCCAAGGGAAAAUCCUUUAAUAAAUGUAAUAACAGUUAUAGUAGAAGCGGCAACCCCCUAUGUGCCCACAAUUUGCUAACUGGCUUCUACCUCUUCUGUUGUUUAACUUGCCCAACAGUUUUCAGGAAUAAAUAUUAUUCAAGUUUCAAUACAUAGAUGAAAUAUCAGAGGCCUUUUAAAAGUUACAGUCAGAAAAGUUCUCAGAGAGGAUUAGGUUCUGUGCCUGUCUUACACCAGGGGCCACGGUAGGAUUGAAAUCCAGUUUUUUAAGACUCCUUUCCAUAAACAUUUUGCUGCCAUGACUCCAAAUUCAAUGAAUACUUGAAGUUCUAAAUAAGAUGCUUCCAAUGUGGAUUUUCAUUUGGUGCUUCUGGAAAUCCACAUGGAGACAACAGGAGAAAACCCAUGACCACUCACUUGAGAAAAGGAAUGGGAAUUUUGAAAUGUUCAGUAGAUUGCUUAAGGCCAAAGAGCCAGUCAAUAUCAGAAUCAGAAAGAAAACCAGGUCUUCCCACCUCUAAAUCAAUGUUUUCCUCACCUACACCCUACUGGAUUGUCAGCUGCCUCUAACUUUUGUUCUCAAUUUGGGCUUAAAUCUUCCUUUCCUUGACACCAAACUGAGGCACUGGAGAAAAGAUCAUUAUGUUGAGAGUAAGAUCUAUUAUUUAAAGGUUGCUCUCUUGCAUUCAACCUGGCCAUGCAUUUUCAUCUAUGUUCAGAGAGAGGCUAUAAGGUAGCUCUUGAGUUUAUAUAGGAAAACAAAAACUAUGAGCUUGGCAACCAAGGAAAGUAGAUGUUGGGUCACAGCCACAUUUCUGAUUUGAAACCAAAUGAUCAGCCCUCUGGUUUCUUCUGAAAAUGAGAAGCAAGUGAACAUGUCACUACAUAAACUGAGAUAGAGAGCACAACUGUGGCUUUAAUUCUAAGUAAAUCAUGAUCUUCAAAGAGCAAUAGUAUGGUCAUCUGAUUACACAGCCCUUUGAAUUGAAAAUUGGGAUUGUCUGAAAGAAAGAAGGCAGAAGACAAUGCAUAUUAAGCACUAUUUAAUAUCUACUAGGUUGGCUUAUCAGUUCUGCUAACUAGUACCAGACUCUCCCAUUUACACAUAAAACAUGGAGACAUGUCCCUUUAUUAUUAAUAUCAUAAUUGUUUUUGGGUAGCCUCAAAUUCAUUAUGUUUAAUGGAACUCUUACACAGUCAAGGACAUCUCCUUGCCAUUUGCAUUUUUUUUUUCAUUGCACAUAAAAUCCCAGCAGAAAAUGAGUUUUUAUCCCUGAUGAGCCUCCCUGGAUGCCUUGGGGAACACAACCAGGUUUUGCUCACUGGAUGAUGAUGUUUAUUCUUUAUACCUAUUUUCAUCAAUACCAAUUGACUUUUUUUAAUAAAGUGAGGUGAGGUCUUGCAAUAAAAUUUAUGCUAGCUUAAUCGACAUGCUUUUAAGCUAUACUUUAUUUCUCUUUAAAAUUCAGGUUUCUGGAUAACAAAGCAGAAAUUGUUCCAAAGAAGCAGUAUUCAGCACAUUUUAGUCUAAGGAGACACGUAAUUAAUAAAAUUUGCACACAGUAUGUUAAAAGGUGAUCAGAUAUUUUCUCUCUGGUAAGUGCCAGAGAGAACAUAUUUGACCAGCUCACAGAUCAGUUAUAGUGCUUGAAUAAUUUCUUUUUAUAAAAUUUCAUUGAAAAUAAUGCACAUGACUUGUUUAUUAUUGUAAGUAUAAUCUCUAAUACCUUCCGAUUCACCAGAGUGGAUUCACUUGGAGAUGAAUUUAUAUGCUAUUUAAGUACCACUGAUAAUAUCAAAUGAUGUCAGAUUUAAUUAGUAAAAAGCAGAUUUUAUAAACAUUGACCUUGGUUCAGGGGAAAUGGAAAAAAAAAAAAAACUGAAGAUAAGGAGAUAACAAUUGAUGGAUGGAACAUUAUUCUAUUUGAGAAAACUAAAAAUGGUAAAACAUUUAGAAAUUGAAUUCAUGACCUGCAAAACAAGAUCAAAUUAAAAACUGUCAGACUGGUGAAAAAUCCCUAAAUGUGUGAAGGCAGAACAUUCUAGUUCUGAAAUGUAAAUGAGGAUAGUUAGAAAUGUCUGAACUGAAAGCUUGUUUUCUUACUGUGAGAAAGAAGAAAAAAAGAUUUAAAGGACAAAAAAGUAGGUAAAUAUAUCUGGGUUCUGAAUUGGUGGUGAUAUUAAAAGGGAGAUAAAGUGCUAGCAAUGACAUAAACUAGGUUAAUUACAUGUUCAUGAGGAAAAAAUAUUCUCUACCUGUGUUGUAGAAAAAUGAUAGAAAUUCCCUCUUAUGGAGUUUUAAGAUGUUUUAAGCUGUGAAUAUAAUCUGCUACAUGUGUUAAACAUUGCCUUGCAUGUGGUAAAAACUCAAUAAUGAUUUAUGGAAGACAUAUAGGCAUAGUAAAUCAAAUUUGAAAAUGACCACAAAUAAUAAAAGAUAAUGUUAACUUAUUUUCAACAGCCAUGUGAGAGCAAAUUAGAUAUUUUUUGAUAGUUGAGAGAACAAUGGAAAAACAGUUCCAAUAAAACCAUGGAUUUUUAGACUUACAGGAAAUCCUAGUAUGUUUUCCCUGAGCUAUGAUUUACUUCUGUGUACUCAGAUGAUAAUAAAGAAGUAAGUUUAUUAAAAAUAUCACAAAAAAUCCUAAGGAUAUAAACUGCAACUAAGAGGGUCAGUGAUCUUAAUUUACCAAGCCUAAAGAGACACAAACAUAAAAUAGAUUCUUCACACUCCUGAAUUCUAAAAGAUGGGCAAAACUGAACUGAAUAUCAAGCUAAUAUUAGACAGUAAAGACAACAAUGCACUAUUUAUAAAACCCAAACAUAUUUUAAGCAUCUACAUUUUAUAAUGUUUCAGAGAUAAGGUAGUUAUAAAUCCAUUAAUCCAUUUGAUGAAUGAGAAGAGUGAACCUUAGCAAAUUAUAUCUGCUCACUCAUUUGACUAAUGUUUAUUGAAUAUUUACCAUAUGUCAGGGUCUUCACCAAAUGCUUCAGAUACAAAAGUUAGCCUCUGCUCUCAUAGAGUUUACAGUGCAGAUAAAGAAGACUUCAAUGAAACAGUCACACAAAUGUUCAUAUAAUUGUAAACUGAGAAGAUGAUAAAAAGAAAAGAAAUGUAUUUCUAUAAAAAGUUUUCUUUGUAUGGAAAACUAAUUCAAUUUGCAGAUCCAAAGAGGCCUCUCUGAAAAAGUAGUGAUAAUGCUGAUAAGUAAGGAUAGGUCACACUUUAUGAGGUAAAGCACAAAAGAGUAAAAUGGAACAGGCUGGAUGUCCAGGCAGAUGAAAUAGCUUGUGCAAAGGCCCUGUGGCUGGAUGUCCAGGCAAAUGAAAUAGCUUGUGCAAAGGCUCCUGCCUACACAUCAAAAUCCACAUCAGAUUCUCUCUCUUAUCAAUUUCCCCAAGCUUCCCCUAUUUGAUUUCCUGUAUGUUUUCUCAA
rnacentral:lncRNA from 1 species